rnacentral:sRNA from 1 species
UGAUUUAGGUAAUCUCCUGUCUAAAGU